GGAGAAUCUACAGACGCUCAAAUGGGUGACGAAUUUCAAGUGUGAUGAGGAGACGGUUCGUAGAAUUCCCAACAUCAGGAAAUUGGGACUCGUUUAUGAUCAUAAGGGGAUUGAGCCUCGCGGUGUCUGCAACAUUGAAUGUCUGCAAAAGCUAGAAUCUUUUAGCUGCGUUUGUCGUAGAAGGGAUGAUAUAUUGCAGAAGCUUACCUUUCCACACUCUCUUAGGAGUCUGACUCUGACUCUAGCGUAUUAUGGUAGCGUGGAGGAUGUAUUGGAAAAGGUAAGUAUAUUACCCCUUCUUCAGAAGCUCAAACUGCAAUCUGGAUGGUUCAGAACGGGCGAAUGGGCAACAGUUGAAGGGCAGUUCCCCAGUCUCAAAUUGUUGUCACUGUCAUGGUGUAAGAAUUUGGAAAACUGGAUGAUGGAGAGCUCCCACUUCCCAUGCCUCGAGCACCUUCAUCUUUCAUGGAUGCUGGGCUUGAAGGAGAUUCCUGCAGAAGUUGGUGAGAUUCCGACGCUGAAAUCCGUGAGGUUGGUUUGUUGCGAAGAAUCAUUGGUGAAGAGCGCGAAGAGAAUGGUGGAGGAACAAGAGGAGUCACAAGGAGAAGUAUCCAUUAAAGUUUAUGUUAUGCUCGAGAAGAAGAGCGAAGAGCUGCAAAGCUUGGCAGAUCCCAACUUUCAAGUGACUGCUCUUUAUUGAAACUUAAUUAGAACUUAAAGCCGGCCACUAUGACCAUUGUUUACCUUUUCCCUUUUCUUCAUUGAAUAUAUUGUUUUUAUUGUUUUUCUUUAAUAUAUCGAUCAAGCGUUGAUUUUUUUUUUUUUCUCGUAUGGAUUAUGCUUGAUUUCGCUCCAUGGUAUCAUCUUCACGCACUAUUGCGAUUACUAAAACACUUACCUCAAACACGAUCCGUAACUUUUCUUUUUACCCAAUUCAUUUUUAUGUGCGAUUUUUCAUUUGUUUAGUAACAAUCCACUUUAGGAAUACAAUUCGAAUUUUAAUGCAUGUAAACGACAUUUUUUAUUUUUCUUAAAAAAUAAAUAACAAUAAUAAUUAAAUAUGGCCACGCAGUAUUAAAUACUAGCUAAAUUGUAAUUAUAAAUUAGGGGUGUGGCGGGUUUUCAGAGGGAGAAAAGAGGACGAGGGAGAUGGGUGACCGGUGGCCGUCCUCGCCGGAGACGAAGGCAUAGCGGCGGCGGCCGGUGUGAGUGGCGGAUUUCUGGCUGAGAGACGGAGGAACGGAUUUGGGGUGUUGAGCAGAUUCUGUGAAAGAGACCGAGAAUUUGAGAAAAAGAGGGAAGAAGGGUUGGGCCGUUGGGGGGCUUGGGCUUAAGGCCUUAAAUGGGCUUAUUGAGCUAGGCCUAUUAUAUUUUCAUUAAUUGGGCCUCUGAUUUUAUUAGGGGUGAUUCUAUUCAUAGCCCACAUUUUACUCUUUAUAGCCCUCUUUUUAAGAUAAUGAUAAUAAUUAAUUAAAAAUUUACUAUUUUAUCCUGUAUUUUAUAGCCCUGAAAAUUAAAUUAAUUUGAAAUUUAUUGCCCCUAUCAAAUCUUAUAAAAAGAUAUGUUUAUGCAAAAAUAAACCCUAUAGCAUGGACUGCUCUCUCAUUUGUCUUUGGGCCCUUAUUAUUUUACAAAAUGGAUUGCACUAGUUAUUUAAUCAGACUAUAAAUUAGUUUGAUUAAUUUCUUUUAAAGAAGAAUUUGUAUAAAUAAUAUUAUUAUGUACAUAUUUUAAGUAAUUACUUAUUAUAUGAAAUUAUGAGAAACAUAGGGCUUUUUAUUAAAUCAGUACUUAAAACGACGACAUUUUAUCUAUUUUUUAAAACGACAACGUUUCCGAAUCAGCAUAAGUAAGUCACGUCACUUACAACAUAAGUAAGACACGUUACUAAAUCAGUGCAUUUGCAUCAUGAUUUAAAUUGGUUUUCAUAAAUCCAGUUAUUAAAGAAAAGUCGAGCAAGGGUAUUGUUGGUGUCCUUCACUCAAGCUUUUAGUUUUUAAUUUUUAUAAAUUAAAAUUUUGAAAACUCUAGAUAAGAUGAUGCUUACAAAUCAGUACUAAUCUUUAAUGUUCCAAACUAGUACGUCUGCCCGUGCGAUGCACGGCGAAUAUCGAAAUUGAAUGACAAUUUAAAUAAAAUUAUUAAACGGAAUAAAAAUAUAAGUAAAUAUGAAUUAUUUUUUAAAAUAAAAUAAUUCACACCAUUUAUUUAUUAAAUUGCAAUUUAUUGAAAAUAUCAAGAAAAACUCAUGAAAGCACACAAAUUUACACCAUUUACACAAUAAAGAACAUGAAUUUAAAAAUAUAUAUAUUUUAACUUUGUACUUUCAAUAAUUGAAAUACCAAUUUAUUAUUUUAAUUUCUACUAAUUAUAAAUUGAUAUUUCAACUAUUGAGAAUACAAAAUUAAAAUUUGUUCUGUUUUACUCAGGUUCUUUAUUGUGUAAUUGAUGCAAAUUUUUUUAUUUGUAAAAAAUAUUUCGCAUUUACUUAUUUUUUUUGUUUAAUAAAUUUAUUUAUUAAAAUGACAUUCAAGUUUGAUGCUCGCCGAAUGUAUCUAAGGGCGGGAGUAUUAGUUUAUGUUAGGAGAGAAGUAAAACAUAGUAUAUUCAAAAAAAAGAAUAUUUUUUUUUACAAANUAUCGAAAUUGAAUGACAAUUUAAAUAAAAUUAUUAAACGGAAUAAAAAUAGAAGUAAAUAUGAAUUAUUUUUAAAAUAAAAUAAUUCACACCAUUUAUUUAUUAAAUUGCAAUUUAUUGAAAAUAUCAAGAAAAACUCAUGAAAGCACACAAAUUUACACCAUUUACACAAUAAUGAACAUGAAUUUAAAAACUGGUAACUUUUAGUACAUUAUGUAAUUUAUUUAUUAUUGUACUAACAUCAUUGCUAUUAUUUUAAUCAAUAACAAUAUUUAAUUUAAGUCCAAACAAUAUAAUUGAAAUCCACACUUAAAUAGCCCAAAAUCGGAAGUCCGAAAUUUUAAAAUUAACUUAACUCAAACGUUAAAAAAAGAAAAUUGAUAUAUAAAAUGUUUAAAUCAUUAUAAAAGGAAAAAUUGUGCGGCCCUGAUUUAUUUUAUCUUCCAGCGGCAACCCUAAUUUAUUCAUUUUCUUUCUGUCAUUGCUGUGGUGUUCGCUCUUCUGUAUAUUUUUCUUUCACCGCCCUUUCCUAUCUUCUCCAUCAACAUAUUCAUCUUCCCCAUCGUCGGGGUCAUCGUCCGCCUCCACACUCCCAAUUUAUCGCGGUUCGAAUCACCCACUAUCAAUUUAUUCACUGAAAAAUUCAAGGAGAUGCCGAAAUUUUCGGCCAAUGUGUUCAAUCUCUCGCCAACAAUUUUAAGAUUUUCGUCGCCGUAAGAGGUGUUAGCCGCAAAGGCCGUGAUUUUUAAACCGAAGGCGCGUGAGGAAAUGUUGUCGGACGCCGCCUCAUUGAUCUCGAAAUUCACGAUGUGAAUCCUCUGUAAACCCUGCUUCGAGGCUGUAGCAAGGAUGGUGAGAUUUCCAUAUCCUCUUUCAUUGAAGAAAGAGAAAAAAUAAAUAGAUUCAAGAAGAGAUCUUUAGUUAAAAUGUACUGUGUUUUUAUUUUUUUGACAAAAGAAAAUCAAAUUUUAAUUUUUUCGCAGUUUUUCUUCAAUUGGAUGUUUCAACCUUCGCCGCCAUCUGCAUUUUCAGUGCUCGACACAUUCUCAUAGAUGACAAAAGUCAAUUUCCUUCAGAAAAUGUGUAUGUUGUUUUCCUGCAAUUGCUUUAGAAAAGUUUUGUUGGUAUUACUGGUGGAAUUUGUUUGAAGAGAAAAAUUAUGAGUGGCAAAAUUAACAGAGAUACAUGCACACACGUUACCGUUAACUUCUGUUUUAUAUUAGGAUCUUAAAAAUUCAAACUGCAUUAUUAUUAAAAGUUCAUAUUUAAACAACCCAAAACUAAUUUAAAAUCUGAAAAAUACGAAUAAUAUAAAAAGAAAAAUUAACAACAAAUAUGUUUAUAUAAUUAAUAAAUGAAUAAUUCAUAUACAUAAUUAAAUAAAUCUAUAUAAUAUUUUAAAUUAUUCAUAUACCUAAGAUAUACUACAAUAUGUUUUGUUUAAAAAAAAAGAUAUAUACAGUAUUUUAUAUACUUUAAGCACAAAAACAAUAUAAACUAAUAUAAAUCAUGAUAUAAAAUGAGUGUCCGUCGAGUUUCGAUGAUAGCUGGCAAUGGAAUGAGAUUCAGUGUACCACACUUUAUGUCCCACUUUGUGUUCCACUUCCACUUUUGUUUAAUUUUUUAUAUAUAUUUUCUUCAAUUUCAACUUUAUAUGCUUUAGUUUAAUUUUGUGAUUAUUAACUAGGGUUUAUUCCGGCAAUUUAAGGUAUAUAAUUAUUUUUUAUCAUUUAAUUUCACUUUUAUUAGCUAAUAAUAGGUUGAUAAAUUCAAAGUCAUGGUAUAUACUUUUUUAAAAAAAAUAAUAUUUUGAAAUAAAACUUCAAUAUAAUUUAUAGUUUUAUAAUAAAUUUUAUUUUUGUUAAAAUAUUUUUAAAAUAAUAGAUAUAAGCAUGAGACACAGUGACACACAUAAAAUUGUGGGACACUGAAUCUCAUCUCGCUGACAAUGGCAUUAUUUCACUCAAAUAAAUGCUCGAAUCAAACCCCCCUUCCAUUUCCAGCCACUCAUCCUUCCAGUCCUAUCUGCAUUUGCAUUCUCUCUCUGCAACACAAAAAAAAAAACUUUUGCAACUGAAAAAAAAAAAAUCAGUCGCAGAUGGCGGCUUAUGCAGCUGUGGUUUCUCUUAUGCAAACCAUCCAUCUGAUUGAGCAUCAUCCAUUCCCUCCAAUUUCUAUGGACAAGCAACAAGUUGAAUCUCUUACUGAAAUUGAUGUGUUCUUGCAGAAAUUUCUUGAAGGUUACAAGUCCCCUGUUGCAGACGGCGAUGAAGCCGAUCAGUUGGAGACGCGCAUCGCAGAUGCAGCUCAUGCCGCUGAAGAUGCUAUCGAAUCUCAUAUCUCCGAUCAAAUUCUUCCUGCUGUCUCUAAAAAUGAAAGGAAUCGGAUUCGGUUGUUCAAUUUCUUUCGAGGUCUAAAGAAGCCCCAAAUUGAUGGUCCAAAAAUCAUUUCUGCAGACUUGUACGAGAGUCUGCAGAAGGUGAUUGAAGAUAUGGAUUUGAUCAAGAAAGAAGUGACGGAGGUUGCAGACAAGGCGGCAGUCCACUCUCAGCUGCAGAGACAAAUCUCAACGUCGACAUCUUCUCUCUCUAGAACGAACAGCACCAUGAUGGGAUUUGAUGAUCUCAUGCAUCAACUCAUGGAUAAGCUCACUAAUGGAGAACCCCAUCGCAGAGUCAUUCCGAUUGUAGGGAUGGGAGGAAUUGGUAAGACUACUCUUGCCAGAAAUGUUUAUGCACGAUUUACUAAUGUGCAUUUUGAUAUUUGCCAGAAAUGUUUAUGCACGAUUUACUAAUGUGCAUUUUGAUAUUUGUUCUUGGGUAGCAAUUUCUCAACAAUACAACACAAAAAAACUUCUUUGUGAUAUUCUAUCUCAAGCCAAUAAAUAUUGGGAUACUGUAGAAGGGCGUGAACGGCUGAGUAGAAUGAGAGAAGAUGAAGUAGGACUAGCACUUAAAUAUUUAUUUAGUAGAAGGUUUUUAAUUGUUUUGAAUGAUAUAUGGAGUAUUGAAGCGUGGGAGAGGAUGAAGCGCUAUUUUCCUGACAAUGGUAAUAGUAGUCGGAUAAUGGUGACAACUAGACUGUCAGAUCUGGGAUCGCGAUUGGAUAACAAUAAUGUAAUUGAUAUGAGAUUUUUGGAUGUGGAAAGUAGCUGGAGGUUGUUUUGCAAAGUUGUGUUUGGAGGGGGAAGUUGCCCAGUAGAAUUGGAGAAAAUUGGGAAGAAUAUUGUAGAGAGUUGUAGAGGACUUCCAUUAUCGAUUGUUGUGAUGGGAGGUCUUUUGGAAAGACUUGAACGAACUAAAGAAUGUUGGAAAUCUAUCAAGAGAAGCUUAAAUUCAGGAGUGAGAUUAGAGAACAAUGAUCAUUGCUUAAAAAUACUGAAACUGAGCUACAACCAUAUGCCGAUUCAUCUGAAGCCAUGCUUUCUGUAUAUGGGAGUGUUUGAGGAAGACAGUGUAAUCCGAGUCUCUACGGUGGUGAAGCUAUGGGUUUCUGAAGGAUUUCUGAAUCCAAUAAGCGCCAAGAGUUUGGAAACAGUUGCAAGAGAGUGCUUAAAGGAACUAGUUGAUAGAAAUCUAAUUCUAAUUCAUGAGUUGGGGUCAACUGGGAGCAUGAAGUACUGCAAAAUACAUGAUUCGUUGAGAGACCUAUGCUUGAGAGAAGCUGAAAAUGAGAGGUUUUAUCAUGUGGUUGGGAGACAUAGCCCCCGAGCCACAUGUAGCCAACGCCGCAUAGUUAUUCCGAGAGGCACUUCAAAGAAGAUAAUCCGCAAUGCCAUGAAAUCCACACCACAUGCCCAUUCCUAUAUAAGUGAUCACGAAAGAGUUCGAGGGUUGUCCAAUUUAAGAUUGUUGAGAACGUUGAAAGCAUGCGAAGAAGUUGAUUUGGAGGAUUUGAAGGACACCAGCAUUCCGUAGGAGAAAUGUUUGAGUUAGUUAAUUUGCGGCUUCUUGUCGUUAAAGCCGAUCGAUGCCCCCAGCUUCCUUCUUCAAUCAGCCUCUUGUGGAGUCUACAAACUUUAAUUGUUUCUUGUUACGGAUCAGACGUAACUGCACCGGUUGAAAUUUGGAAGAUGCCUCAACUUAGGCAUGUUUAUUUCGGGUAUCGGGCGAUGAGAAUCUACAGACGCUCAAAUGGGUGAAGAAUUUCAAGUGUGAUGAGGAGAUGGUUGGUAGAAUUCCCAACAUCAGGAAAUUGGGACUCGUUUAUGACAUGGAUGAAGGGAUUGAGCCUCUCGGUGUCUGCAACAUUGAAUGUCUGCAAAAGCUAGAAUCUUUUAGCUGCUAUUGUGUUAGAAGGGAUGAUAUAUCGCAGAAGCUUACCUUUCCACACUCUCUUAGGAGUCUGACUCUACUGUGUUAUGGUAGCGUGGAUGAUGUAUUGGAAAAGGUAAGUAUAUUACCCCUUCUUCAGAAGCUCAAAUUGCAAUAUGGAAGGUUCAGAACGGGCGAAUGGGCAAC
rnacentral:lncRNA from 1 species